GGACUUAAAAUCAGCAUACUACAGGUAGUAUGGUUUUAUUAGUUAACUUUCCAUUACUAUAGCAAAAUACAUGAAGCAAUUAACUUAAAAACCAAAAGGUUUAUUUUGGCUUAUGGUUCUAGAGGCUCCAGUCCAAGAUCAGGUGGCCCUUUGCUUUGGGCCUCUUGCAAGACCAUGGUCUUGCACAUCAUGGUGGGAGCACCUGAAGGAGCAAAACCACUCAUAUCAUAGUCAGGAAACAAGAAAGAAGAGGAAGAAACCCAGGUCCCACAAUCCUUGAAAGAGUAUGCCUCCAGUGAUCUAAGAACCUCCCCUUAGGGCUUAUCUCUCAAAGGUUUCAUCACCUCCUAAUAGCACCACCCUGGGGACCAAGCAUGUAACACAUGGACCUUUAGAAGCACUCAUCCAGUAGUGUAGCAGUUAAUCACACAAACUCACUAAGUCCUGACUCCAGCUUUUCCUAUAUAUAUGAGGUUUCCUCAUCUGUGAAGUGGAGGUGAAAAUAGAAGUCCACAGGUCGGAAUACUCCACAGGUCUUUUGAGGAUUAAAUGGGAUAGUAUUUGUAAAAAAGCUAUGGUAGUAUCAGUGACAAACACAGAAAUUUCUGUGUGUUUGUUGAAUAUAAUAAAUAUCCUGUUUUCUUUUCAUUGUUAGUAUACUCAAAUAGGAAGUCAUCAUUGGCCUCUGUGGGUCAGGCAAGAGGUGGGUGACCUUCAAAGCAGUAAACCCUACC
rnacentral:lncRNA from 1 species